ACAGCUAUAUCAUAUUGAAACACAGGUUCUCGUAUGAUCGCCAAAGUUACAUAAUGUUGAGCCUGGUUGGUACCUAGAUAGGUGACCGCUUGGGAAUACCAUGGUGCUGUAAG